UGGGGAAUAUUGGACAAUGGGCGCAAGCCUGAUCCAGCCAUGCCGCGUGUGUGAAGAAGGUCUUCGGAUUGUAAAGCACUUUAAGUUGGGAGGAAGGGUUGCGUGUUAAUAGCACGUAGUCUUGACGUUACCAACAGAAUAAGCACCGGCUAACUCUGUGCCAGCAGCCGCGGUAAUACAGAGGGUGCAAGCGUUAAUCGGAAUUACUGGGCGUAAAGCGCGCGUAGGCGGUCAAGUAAGAUGGGUGUGAAAUCCCCGGGCUCAACCUGGGAACUGCAUCCAUAACUGCUUGACUAGAGUACAGUAGAGGGUGGUGGAAUUUCCUGUGUAGCGGUGAAAUGCGUAGAUAUAGGAAGGAACACCAGUGGCGAAGGCGACCACCUGGACUGAUACUGACGCU
rnacentral:rRNA from 1 species